CCAUGGAAGUACUUCCACGUGGGCUGCGCUGCUGCAGCAGUACUUGUUCCAGAUACAGCAAAGUUAAGCGACGCAUAUCAAGUGUGUGGAGACUAGAGACAUCUUAUGGAGAAGUCGUGUAUUGCAAGUUACAUGACGCUGAUACAGCACGGCCUUCUGUAUGGAACAUCGGUGACAACGUUUAGCUAGUAAAACCUUCUUUUGCAAGAAAAAGACAUGACAUGAAAAGACAUUUUGACAUGAAAAGCUAUUUUUGUUGCAUUCCCUGCACCUCUCAAGUGAAUGAAAACCCAUGUUGAUUACAAUCAGUUUGCAUACAACUUGCAGUCUCUUCUGCUUUCUAUUCUUCAUUAGAGAUAUUGCGCAAUGCUGAGGUGUAGUUGCUAAGAGACUGAGCUAAGAACGAGGAUGUUUCCAGUUCAAAUCUUGCCAUGAACAAACUGAGUGGCCUUAGGCAAGCCACUCGCUCCCAUCCUCAGCUCCCACCCGCUUUCCAUGAAAGGGAUAAUAAUACUCUCAUACCUAACAGGGAUGUUGCGAGGAUUACAAAAAGAUAACUGUAUGUGAAGCCUACUUUCAUCACUGUAGAAGCUCUAUGUAAAUGUUAUCUAUGUUAAGUAGCUCUAUGUUAAGUAGCAUUCUUACACUGCAGAUAUGUCACAAUCUACAAGUGACACAUGCCAGACUAAAUGUUGGUCUUAGUAUUGCUUGUGAAAAUGCCCCAGAGAAGUAUGUGUGCCAGAAACACUUUUUAUUAUAGAUGUGCCUGCACCUGGGAUCAUAAAGAACAAACCAUUCUUUUUUAUUCUGCUAACUUGGCAAAAUUAACUUGGCCCCUGCUAACUUGGCAAAGAGGCACCUUUUAACCUGGUCAUUCUCUUUAUUUAGCAGGGGGAGAGUAACUGGCCCUAUCUUAUGUUUCUUUUUAGAUUGUGAGCCCUUUAGGGACAGGGUUCCAUCUUAUUUGUUUGUUAUUUCUCUCUGUAAACCGCCCUGAGCCAUUUCUGGAAGGGCGGCAUAGAAAUGAAAUCAGUCAAUCAAUCAAUCAAUCAAAUAAAUAAAUAAAUUUCUGUGGCCACA